rnacentral:rRNA from 1 species
UACGGGGGGGGCAAGCGUUGUUCGGAAUUACUGGGCGUAAAGGGUUUGUAGGUGGCUUGUUAAGUCAGACGUGAAAUCCCUCAGCUUAACUGGGGAACUGCGUCUGAUACUGGCGAGCUUGAGUGCAGGAGAGGAACGCGGAAUUCCAGGUGUAGCGGCGAAAUGCGUAGAUAUCUGGAGGAACACCGGUGGCGAAGGCGGCGUUCUGGACUGCAACUGACACUGAGAAACGAAAGCCAGGGUAGCAAACGGG